UACGUAGGGUCCGAGCGUUGUCCGGAAUUACUGGGCGUAAAGAGCUCGUAGGUGGUUUGUCGCGUUGUCCGUGAAAACUCACAGCUCAACUGUGGGCGUGCGGGCGAUACGGGCAGACUGGAGUACUGCAGGGGAGACUGGAAUUCCUGGUGUAGCGGUGGAAUGCGCAGAUAUCAGGAGGAACACCGGUGGCGAAGGCGGGGUCUCUGGGGCAGUAACUGACGCUGAGGAGCGAAAGCGUGGGGAGCGAACAGG
rnacentral:rRNA from 1 species